UAGAGUAACUUGUGUAUAAAAUAAUUUAUUUUGUGUUGUGAAAAUAUGCUCGCAAACUUUAUGCUCGCAAAAAGUAUUAAAAAUUCGGAUAUUUUACUAAGAAAAUCAACUAUAGACGGUUUAAUGUGCUUAGUGAUUCGUGGAAGAUUUAACAACUAGGUGGAAGAUUUAACAACGAGGCUUGAAUGCUCUAUAGUUUGAAAUAAAAAAAUAUGUGCUCUAUUUUGACAACUUUUAUAGAAAGACUAACACGCAACUUCAUAAACAAAGUAAAUAAAAAAAAAAAAGAAAAGUAUUUUCCAAAUCAGGUGUCCUAAGAAAACCUAAUGAUCUUGUUGCAGACAAAUGACCACGGAAGAUCAUUUAACUAGGAAGUUCACGCUUUCUUUCUUACCAACUGCGCAAAGUAUGCCCAAAGCUCGUGGAUUUCUUAGUUCUAAAUCAAGCGCUCAAACUACUGCACCAUGGUUGCUUAAAAAUAAUUUUAACAUUAAUUUAUAACUUCAAAAAAUAGUUUGAAUAA